rnacentral:lncRNA from 10 species
UGCCAGGCUGUCUGUUUGUGCUGAAGAGGUAACUGUGAAGAAGACAGGUUUUAUAUAACAGCUGGAUGCAGGAAAUAGGAAAGAAAAGCGGUAAUGCUUACAGUAAAAUUUUUAACACCUGGAGCUGGCAGAAUGGCAGCGCAAUGAACGGAAGACAGCAAGUGUGCAGCCAGUGAAGCCUGAAUGCGAGUUCUAGCUUUCAAUGUGCUGAACUUCAGGUAAUCAUAGCAACUAAGAAUAUCCAGGUGGCAGUUAAUAAUAAAACUCUGGCCCCUGACGUAGGAUUCAGGUACCAUAGGUUUUCAAUAGAAAUAAUAUUUGAAAUGUUGAGAGUGAGUGAGUUUUCUAAAGCAAGUCUUAUACAGAGAACAAAAAUUUGAAUUAUGAGACCAAGUUGUGACAUGCUGAGUCAGUGGGUGUAGCUGAACAUAAAAACAGAAUGAGAAGAAACAGUGGUCAAGCAGAAAUCACAAAAGAGAAAAGAAGAAAUGGUUUGUGUGAUGAUACAAAAAAAUCAGAAGGAAAGUUUUUCAAGAAAGGAAUAAUGAAAACUACCAAAUGGUUAAACCAUCAAAAACAAUAAAGACUUUUCAAAAAGUAUUUCUAUUUGGUGUCUGUGAGAUCAAUAUCAAUAUUUCCUUUAUUCUCUAUGUUAGAGGAAGUUGGCUUAAUAUAUGCUCUUAACAAGUGAAUGGGUUUUGACAAAACAAAUGCAAUUGAUAUAACAUUUGCAAGAUAAAUUUGUCAGUAAAAAAGAACAGAACUAAUUUUAGAGCUACUUACCCAAAUUUUAGAAAUGAAAAGAAAACAUAGAUUACUUAUUAAUUUAAUCUUCAUCAUUGCUGAUGUCGUUUGGCUGUGUGUCCCCAUCCAAAUCUCAAGUCAAAUUGUAAUCCCCAUGUAUUGGAAGAGGGACCUGGUGGGAGGUGAUUAGAUCAUGGGGGCAGGUUUCCGCUUUGCUAUUCUUGUGAGAGUGAGUUCUCACGAGAUCUGGUUGUUUAAAAGUGUGCAGCACUUACCCCUUUGCUGUCUCUUCCUCCUGCUUGGCCAUGGUACAUGGUGCUUGCUUCCCCCGUGCCUUCUGCCAUGAUUGUAAGUUUCCUGAGGCCUCCUAGCCAUGCUUCCUGUACAGCGUGCAUAACUGUGAGUCAAUUAAACCUCUUUUCUUUAUAUAUUACUCAGUCUCAAG